GAGUUUGAUCGUGGCUCAGGAUGAACGCUGGCGGCGUGCUUAACACAUGCAAGUCGAACGAAGCAAUAGGAAGGAAGUUUUCGGAUGGAAUUCAUAUUGACUGAGUGGCGGACGGGUGAGUAACGCGUGGGUAACCUGCCUCAUACAGGGGGAUAACAGUUAGAAAUGACUGCUAAUACCGCAUAAGCGCACAGAAUCGCAUGAUAAUGUGUGAAAAACUCCGGUGGUAUGAGAUGGACCCCGCGUCUGAUUAGCUAGUGGUGGGGUAAAGCCGUACCAAGGCGACGAUCAGUAGCCGACCUGAGAGGGUGAUCGGCCACAUUGGGACUGAGACACGGCCCAAACUCCUACGGGAGG
rnacentral:rRNA from 1 species